ACGCUCGACACCUACGGAGGCAGCAGUGGGGAAUAUUGGGCAAUGGGCGCAAGCCUGACCCAGCAACGCCGCGUGAAGGAAGAAGGCUUUCGGGUUGUAAACUUCUUUUAUUAAGGACGAAGCAAUGACGGUACUUAAUGAAUAAGCUCCGGCUAACUACGUGGCAGCAGCCGCGGUAAUCUGAGCGGGCUGGCAAGGC
rnacentral:rRNA from 1 species